rnacentral:lncRNA from 1 species
UAAUUAUACACAUACAAGAAGAAGUUGAGUCGAAUAUCCAGUUAUUACACAUUGAAACAGUCUCCAUAGUCCAAUUAUUACAAGAAAUGAACCACUCUAACGUUAAUUACAACAUAAGGACUAUCUUAUCAAUACAGCUAUAACCAAAACUGGAUAGGGGAAAACAGGGAGAAGGUUUAGAAUGACAUAAGGAACUCGAAUCUGCGCAUUCAUGAAUAUUUAUACUUGAAUUUCAAUGU